rnacentral:rRNA from 1 species
UACGGAGGGGGCUAGCGUUGUUCGGAAUUACUGGGCGUAAAGCGCACGUAGGCGGCUUUGUAAGUUAGAGGUGAAAGCCUGGUGCUCAACACCAGAAUUGCCUUUAAGACUGCAUCGCUAGAAUUGUGGAGAGGUAAGUGGAAUUCCGAGUGUAGAGGUGAAAUUCGUAGAUAUUCGGAAGAACACCAGUGGCGAAGGCGACUUACUGGACACAUAUUGACGCUGAGGUGCGAAAGCGUGGGGAGCAAACAGG